GAUGAACGCUGGCGGCGUGCCUAAUACAUGCCAGUCGAGCGAACAGAUAAGGAGCUUGCUCCUUUGACGUUAGCGGCGGACGGGUGAGUAACACGUGGGUAACCUACCUAUAAGACUGGGAUAACUUCGGGAAACCGGAGCUAAUACCGGAUAAUAUUUCGAACCGCAUGGUUCGAUAGUGAAAGAUGGUUUUGCUAUCACUUAUAGAUGGACCCGCGCCGUAUUAGCUAGUUGGUAAGGUAACGGCUUACCAAGGCGACGAUACGUAGCCGACCUGAGAGGGUGAUCGGCCACACUGGAACUGAGACACGGUCCAGACUCCUACGGGAGGCAGCAGUAGGGAAUCUUCCGCAAUGGGCGAAAGCCUGACGGAGCAACGCCGCGUGAGUGAUGAAGGUCUUCGGAUCGUAAAGCUCUGUUAUUAGGGAAGAACAUACGUGUAAGUAACUGUGCACGUCUUGACGGUACCUAAUCAGAAAGCCACGGCUAACUACGUG
rnacentral:rRNA from 1 species